AUUGAACGCUGGCGGCAGGCCUAACACAUGCAAGUCGAGCGAGCGGCGGACGGGUGAGUAAUGUACGGGUAUCUGCCCGAUAGUGGUGGAUAACUACUGGAAACGGUAGUACAUACAGCAUACUGUCGGACGUACCUCGGUGGGAUUAGCUAGUAGGUAAGGUAAUGGCCUACCAAGGCGACGAUUCCUAGCUGGGGUGAGAGGAUGAUCAGCCACACUGGAACGGAGAUACGGCCCAGACUCCUACGGGAGGCAGCAGUGGGGAAUAUUGGACAAUGGGCGAAAGCCUGAUACAGCCAUGCCGCGUGUGUGAAGAAGGCCUUAGGGUUGUAAAGUACUUUCAGUUGGGAGGCGUUACCAACAGAAGAAGCACCGGCUAACUCCGUGCCAGCAGCCGCGGUAAUUC
rnacentral:rRNA from 1 species